CAUCUUCUGGCACUCAAAUAUGCGGUUUAUUGAGUUAUAUUCAUUCAUUUCUUGCUAUGAAUUGUUGAAUUUGUGAAUGAUAAUCAUAUAAAGGGGUGAUUUACUACUCAGUGGUUUGUUUUGCAGAAAAGUGUGAGAAGGCACUAUAAACUUCAAGAUCCGGACUAAGUGGCUAAGAGAACGAAGAAGAGGAGGAAGAAUGGACUUGUGCGAGAAGAAACAAAGUAACCAGGGGGCCAACUAGAGAAGAGAGGGAUUUUCUUGUGAAGAAAGAAGGAAGCAGGAGGGCCAUUGUGCAAAUGGAAGAUCAGAUCGAGGGGUCAAAAUCCCUAGUCCAUCUACAAUUCCCCUCGGGCCUGGCAAAUCUCUCUUCUCCCUCACCCCACCUUCUCCACCACCGCGGCCAGGCCGGCGUGGCGGCGUGCCACACAGCCAUCCAUCCACUCGAUCUGCACCAUCCACCAUGCCAUCACCAGCGCCAUCUUCGCCACCAUCCACCAGCACCACCAUCGGCGCCCGAUCCACCACCGCGCCUCCAUCAACGCCGCCACCAGCACCGCCUCACCACCUCGCGCCGCCUCCCAUCCAUCUCCCUGCUGCUCCUCCACCUUUCUUCUCCUCCUAACCCUACUGAUGUUCUUCUUCUCUUCUCCAUCUACUGAUGCUUCCUCUGCUUCCCUUGCUUUGCUUCUUUCUUUGCCUUGCUUCUGCUCCACCACCUCUCAAUUUCUCUCUGUACCUCUGCUGCUGCUCCUUCUUCGCCUACCUCGCUGCUUCCCUGCUUCUUCUCUGAAUCUCCCAAACGCUGCUGCUACCUGCUCUCUCCAGCGUCCACUUACUGCUCCUCUCCAGCGCCCCCUUGCUGCUCCUCACUCCCUGAUGCUCUGCUUCUUUUCUGUAUUCCCAAUCCUGGUUGAAUUGUCUUCUUGGAAAUGGCAUUCUACUCAGAUCAUCAUGCUUAUGCGAGCAACACUACAAACAGCCGGAAAGUAUUCAAGAACUGAUAAGUAAGAUUUCCCAUCGAUUAGAUGAUUUAGCUCGGCAACGAGAAGUAGUUUUUGAGGAUAGGCCUAGCUCUUAUGAUCCUUAUUCUAGAGGUCAUCCUUAUGUUGCUCCUAUAUGCCAUAUUUGUGAAUUUCAGGGCCAUUCACCCGCUGAAUGUCAGCGUGGUUACUCUCACCCUCCCGAUUUUUAUGGCAUGAGCUUCGCCCCACAGCCUAGCUCAUACCAAAACAAUUACUCAUAUGGGUGGCCUGAAAACCAGAAUAUGUCAUAUAGGAACAACAACCCUGAGAUCUCAUCGUUUGCCUCUAGUAAUCCAUUGCAGGGAAUUAGGUACAAUGAGGAGAGCAACAACUAUGCACCACAGCAGUUUUAUUCAGCUCUUAUUCAUGUACCUCAACACCGGGAGAUGUGUCCAAUGGAGUUAAAUGGUCCUCCACUUGGUCAACCAACAACUCCAGCACCUGUUGAGCAAUCUCAUGCACAAGUGCCCACACAAGAUGAGUUCGAUGACAUAGACAAGCUCACAUUGCUUAGUCUCGAGUUCACUUGGAGUGCGGAAGAUGAUCCUAUUAGGAAGGUGAUACUAGAGGAAAUGAAGAAGAUCAAGAGUGGCAAAGAGCUAGUGGAAGAAGUAAGGAAGAUUGAGAAGAAUAUCAACGCUGGCAGUACUAUAUCAUCACAGCUUGAGUUUAGUGUGGCUGAGAUAUCCAUUGAUACAUGUGAGGUUCCAACACCUUCACAUUCAGCUGAGCAAGAUAGCGAGAGUCCAUAGGAAGAGAUAGUUCAGAUCCAAGAAGAAAUUCUCGAAGCCAAGGAACAAGAUGAUCCAGAGCUCGAAUACCCAAAUGAACAAGUUGAAGAUCCAAUGUCUACCACUCCCGAAGAAGUAGAAGAAGCUGUUGUAGUUGAAGAUGAAGAACCAGAAAUUCAUUUGCCUAUUGUCAUACAAGAGCGUGAUGUAGCAGGUUUAUCUAAUCCUCAUGAUGACAUGCGUCCAGAUGAUCUGUUUGCUACUACUUUGCAUUGCAUGAUACCAUCAAUUAAGCUAGACUCGAAAAACUAUUUGCUUGGACAUGAUCAUACAUACCCUGUUAUUGGCAUUUCUCUCAUUUUAUGAUGACACUUACUCUCCUCAUGCUAGACCUAUGCUUAAUGAUAAAUAUCAUCCUUAUGCUAGCAUUGAGCUUACUGAUUUCUACCAUCCUAAACAUGUGCUUUAUAGCUAUGCUUAUGUAAUUGGGUACUCUAUUGAUGAUUUAGAGGGAAUUACUCCUGUCACUCGUAUUGUCUCUUUGGUUGAGUGCCUUUUCAGGUUUUUGCUUGUGCACCAAUCAAUACAUGCUGACCAGGUUCAAGGUGACAUUCCUUGGGACCCCGGUGGACUCAGAGCAUGGUGAUGAGGAGAAGCAGGGGGCAAACACGAAGAAGAGUGAAGCUGGAGCAUCCAUGAGGAAGCAAAGGAGAAGAGCUGCAGUUGGUGAGAUGAUCGAGCGAGUGCUACAUCAUCAAAGCCCGGUGAGCUGUUUCAUGACCCAUUUUGAAAUCAUCAUCCAUUGAUGCUUGCUGAAUUAAAUUGCUAUUUGGGUUGCUUGUGCCAUUUCUUAAAUGUUGUCCCACUGAAUUUCACCUUUGACAUAUGGUGCUUGAUGAGAAUAUGCAAACUGAUUGUUGAAUGCCUUGUAAACUAGUGAUCUACACCCUGUUUGCUUUGCUGAAAUUAGUGAGAACUAUUAGUUUUGAGUGCUCAAAUCCCUAGUGCACUAGUAAACUUUAUCAUUUUCUGCUUUUACCUUGAUACACUUAGGUCAUUAAGUGUUAGAUGCUGAGUUUGUGCCUAUUGUGUUCCCAUUGAGAGCAAUCACUUUACCACUAUGGACUAGUGAAGCAGCACAAAGUUUGUGGAGGAGCAACUCCACCUUGCUGCUACAAUGUGUACAGCACAAGUGUUGAAGGAACAGCUUCAACGUGCUGCGCUAGAUAUCGCUCUAGAGGCGAAUGUAGGUUGAUAGGGCAGCAAGAGUUCAAUCCAGAACUCCUAGGGCACAAGAUCUACUCCAAGAUCUUAGAUAAGAACAACAAGUUCUAUUAUAGGUAGGGAUACAUAGUCUGCCUCCAAAGUAGAGGCGAAGACCUUUAUUUAUAGGGCUUUGGGAAGCCUUCACAUACUUCUACUUAUAGCUGGAAUACUCUAGAAAACAUUAUGUAAGUUUCACCAUUCUACUCAUAGCUACUCACAACUAGAAGACUCUAGAAAACAGUAGGUAGGAUAGAAAAGAAAAGGAAAGAAAUACUACACUAGAGUGGAAGCAUCUAGAAGUAGCCAAACAGAUCUGGCAUGUGUUUUCUUUCUUCUCAUCUAGUGUUCCUCAUCAACUAGUAUGCUAUGUUCCCUGGAUCGGUAGCAUGUGAACCAGACAUGGCGAAGUGAGGAUCCCUGUUUUUGUACUUAUGCGUUGUUCAUUUAAAAUAAGUAAUAAUGAAUAAAUAAGUCUGACUACCUACAGUAGCAUGUCAUGUUCCCUGGAUCGGUGGCAUGUGAAAUCGGGUUAGCUUGGGCAGUAAUCAAUAAUAAAAAUGUAAUUGUCGAACCAGGUGUAUACCAUGUUCUCGGGAUCGGUGGUAUGUUCCUUUGGGGAGACAAACAAAAAAACUAAUAAUUGGUCGAGCCAGGUGUAUACCAUGUUCUCCGGAUCGGUGGUAUGUUCCUUUGGUGAGACCGAUAAAAUAUUAUCAUUAUUUCCUUCAAAUUUAAUAAGUGGUUCAACCACAAUGUUAUAUUUCUGCAAAUAAGUGUUUUAAUUAAAGUUCCUUUUGUUCUCAGGAUCAUGCUCUCUUUAGGAACGUGUUGGCACAGUCAGCAUUUGAACUUGCUAAUCUUCGUUUAUCAUUGCAAAAGUUUAAAAUGGUCGAGUUUACUAGUGUCCUAUUGAUAUGUAGCACUCUUAACCAUUAAUUUUCACUAGGAAAGUCCAAAGCAUGCACUGUUUAGAGAUCUACUUCACUUGACAUUCUCUAGUCAGGUCACUGUUCACUAUCUUGCCUUUGUCAUAUUCCUUUGCUUGAGGACAAGCAAAGAUUUAAGUGUGGGGGAACUUGAUCAACACAUUUCAUAUACAUCUUUUGGCACUCAAAUAUGCGGUUUAUUGAGUUAUAUUCAUUCAUUUCUUGCUAUGAAUUGUUGAAUUUGUGAAUGAUAAUCAUAUAAAGGGGUGAUUUACUACUCAGUGGUUUGUUUUGCAGAAAAGUGUGAGAAGGCACUAUAAACUUCAAGAUCCGGACUAAGUGGCUAAGAGAACGAAGAAGAGGAGGAAGAAUGGACUUGUGCGAGAAGAAACAAAGUAACCAGGGGGCCAACUAGAGAAGAGAGGGAUUUUCUUGUGAAGAAAGAAGGAAGCAGGAGGGCCAUUGUGCAAAUGGAAGAUCAGAUCGAGGGGUCAAAAUCCCUAGUCCAUCUACAAUUCCCCUCGGGCCUGGCAAAUCUCUCUUCUCCCUCACCCCACCUUCUCCACCACCGCGGCCAGGCCGGCGUGGCGGCGUGCCACACAGCCAUCCAUCCACUCGAUCUGCACCAUCCACCAUGCCAUCACCAGCGCCAUCUUCGCCACCAUCCACCAGCACCAGCACCGGCGCCCGAUCCACCACCGCGCCUCCAUCAACGCCGCCACCAGCACCGCCUCACCACCUCGCGCCGCCUCCCAUCCAUCUCCCUGCUGCUCCUCCACCUUUCUUCUCCUCCUAACCCUACUGAUGUUCUUCUUCUCUUCUCCAUCUACUGCUGCUUCCUCUGCUUCCCUUGCUCUGUUUCUUUCUUUGCCUUGCUUCUGCUCCACCACCUCUCAGUUUCUCUCUGUACCUCUGCUGCUGCUCCUUCUUCGCCUACCUCGCUGCUUCCCUGCUUCUUCUCUGAAUCUCCCAAACGCUGUUGCUGCUACCUGCUCUCUCCAGCGUCCACUUACUGCUCCUCUCCAGCGCCCCCUUGCUGCUCCUCACUCCCUGAUGCUCUGCUUCUUUUCUGUAUUCCCAAUCCUGCUGCAGUUUCUAUCUCUUUCUCUCUCUGUAAUUCACAGGAGUUAGUACUGUAUAAUAUAGUGAUUUGUUCAAUUUCAGACUUGUGUUUGUAGUGUUACAUUGCUGAUCUGUGAGCUGAACCGUGGCAUGUGUCACUUAGUUUGUAUGAUUGAUAAUUAGCUAUAUA